rnacentral:tRNA from 1 species
GGGGUGGUGCCGGAUUUACCUGAUUUGUCGGUGGCACUCCCCUGCUAAGGGAGUAGGCCCGGAAGGGUCUCGAGGGUUCGAAUCCCUUCGUCUCCGCCA